AAAACAUGUCCUUUUGAUUAUGAUUUAAGGUCUGGCCUGCUCAAUGAGGUUUUAAAUAGCCGCGAUAACUUGAUCGUGCGAAGGUAGCAUAAUCAUUAGUUUUUUAAUUGAAAACUGGAAUGAAGGGUCGGACGAGAUUGGGGCUGUCUCAGAUUUAUUAUAUUGGAACUUUAUUUUUAGGUUAAAAAGCCUAAAUAUUUCUUAAAGACGAGAAGACCCUAUAGAGUUUUAUAUUUUUAUUUAAUGAGUGUUUUUGGUAUUAAAUUUAUUCUUUAGUUUAAAAUUAUUUAGUUGGGGUGAUUGAAUAAAUGGUUAAACUUCUUUUUUUUAUUACACUAAUUUGUGAAUUGAUGAUCCACUUUUUGUGAUUAGAAGAUUAAAUUACCUUAGGGAUAACAGCGUAAUUUCUUUUGAGAGUUCUUAUCGAAAAUGGAGUUUGCGACCUCGAUGUUGGAUUAAAGUUAAUUUUUGGCGUAGAAGUUAAAAUAUUUGGUCUGUUCGACCAUUAAAACUUUACAUGA
rnacentral:rRNA from 1 species